AGUUGGGUGUUCUGAUAGUUCAGUCUUGAUGUCUGCCUAAAAGCACUCUCACAUCUUAAAACCACCCAGUUAAGUAGCCAGAAAAAUUCUGGAAUGUCGCCUGUAAAAAGAGGUGCUUGAAGGCGGCCAGUCAGAUAAAACUAUGAAAGAGGCACAUUCAUUUUUUUAAUUAAAUGACUGACACAUGUAACAUUUAUUUUCAUGAAAGAGAUUCCUUAUUGGGUGUCAUGAGUUGCUGAGCCCAAGACGGGAGUUUUCCACUGACUUUUUUCACCAACAAACCAAGUGAAACUCGUCGUCAUUUGAAAUAAUCUGCAUUUUAAUAAAUGUACUCAGACUAAGUGUUUCACAUCACUUGGUAAGACGUUUCUCUCAGUCAGGGUUAUGACAUUAAGGUUGAAGGAAAUACAGCACCUGUCCACUGUAGAGGGGCUUUGUUGUGGGAUCACUGUAGUUGAAGAGACACAUGUUGAUGAAGUGAAUGAGAAGACUCGGGGCAUCCUUGGAGGUGAAGGCAUCAUAGGCGGUCCACUUGUAGAAGACCAGUAAGACUAGGUAGCCGAAAAGGCUGGACAUGAAAACAAUCUCAGGGAUGAAACCCAGGAAGAUGUUGAGGGGCUUCUUGAAGUACCUGCAGUGUUGUAAAAUCCAGUUUUGCAUCACUUCUUUUACAAAUAUUUCGGUAUAUACAGUAUGUGAAGGAUGUAAAUUACAGGUGGUUGAAGAGACUCAGGGACACUCCAAAGAUCAUGUGGAUCACGCCAAGGAUGACAGACAUUUUCAUCUUGAAGGAGUUAAGAAAGGUCAGCUUGUUUGUCGCCACAUUCCAGAUCUGUAUUGGGUUUGAGAGAUUAAGGUAUCAGUGACUGUUGUUGUUGUUGAGAAGUGCUGAUUCAUUGUUUACCGGGUCAAUUCCCAGUGGAUACGGUCCGUUGAACACACCAGGGAUGGCAGGAUCUAACUGAAGCACUGCAUUUGAAUCAAGUGUCUCGAACCUUGAAGCACCAAUAAGACAUUUCAUUCAAUAUAUUGAAUGAGUUAAAAAGAAAAACAGUUAAGGAUAUACGACGUCAACUUACGACCAGUUCGCUCCUUUGGCUCCAAACAUGGGCCUGACGCUCCACCCGGAGCCAAACAUGUUGAGUGAUUUGGAGAAGCAGUCAUUAUAAAUCAGGCCAGUGUACAUGGAGAAGACUCCCAUCAGCAGGAUAAUGUAGCGACCAGCAAACACCAUAUUGAACAUCUGCAGACAAAAGUAAGAUGUCAGAAUGUCUUUUUAAAAAAGUAACUGUCAAUAAUAAUAAUACCUCAUUGUCACUCUUCUGGGCGAGAAGACGGCUCUCGCGGAUGACCAGGUAGAGGGCAGCACAGGUCAUCAGCAGGCCAUGACCCAUGUCCCCGAACAUCACGGCAAACAGGAAGGGGAAGGUGAUGAUGGUGUACGGAGCUGAGAAAUGAGCAUCAGUUACCACAGAUGUGUGAAUAGCAGCAAAAAUCUGUAGUUACCUGGAUUAAUUUCACGAUAGUUUCCAAUGCCAUAAGCAUCAACAAUGUUCUGAAAGCCUGAUGUGAAUUUGUUAGUCUUGUUAAAAGUGGGCGGAGUCUGUUUGGUCUGCAUCCUGUUGAGGAUGGAUGGGACUGUCGACCCGCUCCUCUCCUGUCAAUCAAAGCCCCUUUCAGAACACUCACAAAACAGAUAUCAGCUGCUUCCUCUUACCGUCCCCCGGCGUAGAGCAAACUGAAUAGAGUCCAGGUCGGAGACUGGACACCAGACCUCGGCGAUGAGACACUUCUGGGUGACGUCAAUGUUGCAGAGGUUGAGGGUGUGGUAGAUGGCCUUCAUCUUCCUCACCUUGAUGAACCAAACCCUCAUGGUCUUGGAGGCUGCUUGCAGCACUCUUUGCCGGUGGUCCUCCGUCUGGUUCAGGACCUGGAGAGUUUUUGUGACUUGGUUAAUGGCCUGGAUGUCACUUUUACAUUUGUUUAAUACGAUACAAGUCACAGAAUCUCUGUAACUCAGAUAAUGAUAAAGACGCCACACUAGUGUGGAUUCAAGGGAAAUUGCAAAGUACUGCCAAAUAGCUGAAAGCUGGAAAACUAUAUGAUGAAUCUCACCAGUCGGAUAAAUUAUUAUGAUGUAACACUUACCAUUUGAAGAUCAUCAAUACGACUAUUGACCCCAGCCAGCAUCUCUUUUCUUUCCUGGGGGGUCUCUGGACAGGGAUACAGGGAAGCCCGGAACCUAUAUGAAAAAAUAGCAUCACAAAAACAUCAUUAUGUCACUAAUAACAUUAACAUCAUUUUCAAAAUCAUAGAUAAUUGCAUAUCAUAAGAGUCUAAUAAUAUGUAAAAUGAAAUUGAAUGCUUUCAACAAAGUCCAUCAAAACCCUGGAUAGGAUAAUCACCCUUCACAGAUCUUCUUCACCCUGUUCUUCAGCUGGUCACCUUGGAAGAAAAUAAUGAAGACCGACUUGUGGACCUGGUCGCCCUGUUGGAGAAAAGACAACUGUGAGUGUACUCGAUUCAAGUUUCCCACAGAAUCAACUACGAUGCCCAGCAGCCCGUGCACUGCAGUAAGAUGCUGACCGUGGUUGGGUCCUCCAGUGGGUCUUCAAUCUCAGCCUUCCGGAGAAACACAUUUCCACGACACACUCUCCACAACAUCCUCUCAAAA